rnacentral:rRNA from 1 species
CGGGUCGUAAAACUCUGUCCUCAAGGAAGAUAAUGACGGUACUUGAGGAGGAAGCCCCGGCUAACUACGUGCCAGCAGCCGCGGUAAUACGUAGGGGGCUAGCGUUAUCCGGAUUUACUGGGCGUAAAGGGAGCGUAGGCGGUCUUUCAAGUCAGGAGUGAAAGGCUACGGCUCAACCGUAGUAAGCUCUUGAAACUGGGA